AACAGUCACACUGUUCUAUGCAUUCAAAAAGUGAGCGUCGUUUGUGAUUUUGUUUCAAAUUUUUUCCCCUAAGUUUAAUUCGUCCGGUGUCAAGUCUCUUCGCUGCGUGAAGAAGCUUUUUUUUCGUUUUGUUGUUUGACUUCCAGUAUAUUGUUAAAAUGGAUAUCCGAAGCUGGAAGUCGGUGAUCCUCUCUUGGGUACAGAAAUGCGGCUUCGUGGACGAAAAUGUGCUGACUCUCGAACAGUCAAACAUCUAUAAAUUCUUCGAGCACUAUCUGGAGUAUGAUUACAUGCAUCUCGCUCUGGACACCACGGACUCGACGCACAGCGAUCUCAGUUCGCGCAAUGAUACACAGCUGAUCAAAUUUUUGCAAACCGUUUAUCCAGACUUUGCUCCCAAUCUGGAUACAAGUGGAAACCUCGAUCGCAGCGACUAUUUUCUGGUGUACACGUUGAUGCUGCACUAUGCAUGUGUCAUUAAAAAGAGUACACAAUAUCAAAUCAAAUGCACAGAGCUCCCGGAGCACAUUCAAAAGGCCAUAGCAUCGUUUUUGUCGCGCAUCGUUAAUAGUCAUAAGAUAACACGUUUAUGCCUGGUCGAGGCAUUAGAAACGACUAAGAAAUUUUUCGAGCCCGCCGCACCGCCUGCAAUGGUCUUGCCGUAUACGACAAGCACUGUCCGCCAAGCACUGAUGGAGGCCGCCAUCAUUCCCGCCGACCCCGAGGCUCCUGCCACACCCGUAAAGGCCAUCACAGAUAGUCCACAGACUCCGCAAGAUACGCCGUUGCACAGCAGCCGCGACGAAUACUCGCCGCUGCCGAUUUGCAGCACACCAAUGCGUGAGCGGGAGCGUAUGACGGUGUUUGAAUGGCGACAAGUGAUGGAUAAAUUGGCGGCUACGGAAAUCAAAUUGGCGGAAUUGGAAACAAAAUUGACAUCGGCUGAACGCAAAUUGAUUUCGACAGAGAACGAGUAUUCCAUCCUGGAUGAAUUGUUUCAGGAAGUAUCCAAAACAAAAGUCAAUUUACAAAAUGCUAAUAAAGAACUCAAGGCCGAGAUCGAGAUACUAAGGGAAAAGAUUCAAAUAUUCGAGGAGAGGUCCAUUGAUGAAGAAGCCGACGGGCGUAGUAAUUUCGAGCAUCUUAAGCAAGGCUAUUUAAAGGAAAUAGCCGCCAAGGAGGCAAUCAUAGCCGAAAUUAACGAACACCUGCAGGAUGCGAUCAGUGCACAUGUUAAGGAGAAUGCAAGGGUCCGCGAAAUAGAAGAGCAGUUGAAGAAGUGCUUUGACCAAAUCAACAUGCUCAAUCUGACGGUCAAUCAAAAUAAGGCAAUCCUGAGGGACAAAGAUUUUGAGAUUAGUUGCCUGGAGCGCGACAAGCAGGACUUGGCCCAGUGCCUGAAUGUGCUGCGGCAGGAGUCGCAGGGACGCCGUGAGGUGCUGAAUGCCUCCUCGGACAUGCUGGACACUUCGCUGUCCCCAGGCAGUGUGCCGGAAAAUCUUGGCAGCUGUGUGAUUGAAAAGCAGCUGCGCGAGAAGGAUCAGGAGAUAUGUCAGCUAAAAGAGGAAUUCGCAAAACUCCAGUCGGACAUAUACAAAUUAAUCAAUGCGGAAGUGAAGGUCGAACCAUCCUUCAAGGAUCAAACGCAGCUUUUAAAGGCUAUUUGUGAUGCGCUUAUUGUUAGCCCCCAGGCAGCAGCCGAAUAUGAAAGCAGGAAACUUCACAACGAGAUCGAGAUCCUACUCGCGGAGCUGCAGAGCGAAAAGGACGCCAGGGCCGACAUGCACGAUCCGCACGACAAGGAGUGCAUCCAAAUGACUUGUGAACUGGCAUUUAUCGACGAGGAUUUGGACAACGAGAAGCAGAUCGUGGCGAAGCAGCAUAAACGAAUUCUGGAAGCCCAACAGCGCCUCGACUCUCUAGCCUUGACCGAGAAAUAUAAUAAACAGCUGGAUGAGCUGCAGCACCAGUUGGAGAUCCUCGAAACUGAACUUCCACAGAUGGCCUCGCAAAACUUAAAUGAUCAGCACUGUGUCCUCAACUACCUCGAGGAUGAGAAGGCGAGUGAUGAGAUGUCGCGGCAGAGUCUUGAGGAAACAAAGAGGCUGGAGCAGCAGAUCAACUCGAAGCCUGAUCUGCUGAAGAAGAAGGAGAGCGAGGUGGCUGAGGUAAAAGGUCAAAUCGCUCUGCUGCAGCAGAAGAUGAAGGACGAAGGGGCUAAGGGACGUCUGCAGGCGCCCGCAAGGAUGGCUGAGCUCGACCAGCUAGUCAAGGACCGCAAAGUUCUGGCGAUCACAUCACGUGAACAGUCUCAACGACUUGCACAUCGUCACGAUCGGCUGGACAAGCUGGAGCUAGCACGGAAGAAGAAGGAAAUGCAGAUCAAGAAUGAGAAUCACGACCCUGACUCGGAGAUCGGCCGUUACUAUGCGCGGGAACUGCAGGAACUGGAAAGUAAAUGUCAUUUUACGUUGCAAAAAUGCGUUCAAGCGAAAGCAGAAGCUGCCGAGCAGGCUGACAAGUUGUCCCACGUGCUGCAACGUCUGGAACAGAUCCAAUACCAGAAUGAACGCUCGAUUGAGGUAGCCACCACCAAAGAGGAGCGUGCGGCACAAAAAGAUUCCGAUACAGAUCUGAUUGCAGAAAAGGAUGCGAAAAUAGUUGAACUAUCAGUCGAAAUGAUAGUGCUGACAGAUAAAUUGGACUCCCUGGCCGAUGAUCGAGCGAGGCUAAAAGCCAGCGCGAAGGAGCAUCGGAAAAAUGCCUCAAUAUUGCAAAAAUCUCUCGAUCUACUGUCGGCUGAGAGAUCCGGGCUAGCGAAAAAGCUUGGGAUGCAAAAAAGUCUUCUGAAGAUGUAUGGAAAGUCCAUACAAGUUUUGUUGGAAAAGCAGAACAGCCAGGAGGAGAAUGAAAAGUGUUACGAGCAGAAAUUGAAAAAAUUGCAAGAAGAACACUCAGACGUUAUCAAGAAGCUGGAGCUGGGGAUCGAUCAAUGGCGCGAAAGAUAUGAAAACCUUGAAAACGAUAUCAGCGCGCAGAAGGAGAUCGCCAGUACGAAUGAGCGAAAGCACCAGGACACAGUUCAUGCACAUGCACGGACCAUUUCGAAGCUUCGAGAUGAUUAUAAUACGCUAGAGAAAGACUUACUCCACAAACAGAACUGUUGCGAAGAGGAUCGGAAAAAGCUCAACGAACGAGUGGUGCUGCUGACAGAAGAGCGUGACACUCUGAGACUUCAUAAAGACAUCUUGAAGAAAGAGCUCGACACUCUGAGCCAAGAGCGUGACACCCUGACACUUUGUAGUGAUACCGUGAACCAAGAGCGUAACAAUCUGAACGCGUUGUAUGCGACCCUACUGAAAGAGCGCGACAAUCUGAAGGAGUCUAAUGGUACCCUACAGAAAGAGCGCGACAAUCUGAACGCGUUGUAUGCGACCCUACUGAAAGAGCGCGACAAUCUGAAGGAGUCUAAUGGUACCCUACAGAAAGAGCGCGACAAUCUGAACGCGUUGUAUGCGACCCUACUGAAAGAGCGUGACAAUCUGAAGGAGUCUAAUGGUACCCUACAGAAAGAGCGCGACAAUCUGAACGAGUUGUAUGCGACCCUACUGAAAGAGCGUGACAAUCUGAAGGAGUGUAAUGGUACCCUACAGAAAGAGCGCGACAAUCUGUACGAGUUGUAUGCGACCCUACUGAAAGAGAGUGACAAUCUGAACAAGUCUAAUGGUACCCUACAGAAAGAGCGCGACAAUCUGUACGAGUUGUAUGCGACCCUACUGAAAGAGAGUGACAAUCUGAACAAGUCUAAGGGUACCCUACAGAAAGAGCACGACAAUCUGAACGAGUUGUAUGCGACCCUACUGAAAGAGCGCGACAAUCUGAACGAGUCUAAUGGUACCCUACAGAAAGAAUGCGACAAUCUGAACGAGUUGUAUGCGACCCUACAGAAAGAGCGCGACAAUCUGAACGAGUCUAAUGGUACCCUACAGAAAGAGCGCGACAAUCUGAACGAGUUGUAUGCGACCCUACAGAAAGAGCGCGACAAUCUGAACGAGUCUAAUGGUACCCUACAGAAAGAGCGCGACAAUCUGAACGAGUUGUAUGCGACAGUACAGAAAGAGCGCGACAAUCUGAACGAGUCUAAUGGUACCCUACAGAAAGAGCGCGACAAUCUGAACGAGUUGUAUGCGACCCUACUGAAAGAGCGCGACAAUCUGAACGAGUCGAAUGGUACCUUGCUGAUAGAGCGCGACAACCUGAAGGUUGCCGAACAGCAACACCAGACGGAAAUAUCUCGAUUUGUGAACAUGGAACGAGAGAUAUGGGGAAUGCUGGACAAUACCACAGAGAAGAUUCAGGCGCUGUCGGAGAUAAACACAAACGAAAACAAGGAGAACCGUCAGCUACAUGGCGUGAGCUCUUUGCGUCAGGUGAAUUGUCUGGAAAUGCUCAAAGAGAUACUAUAUCAAAAGGACAUGCAAAUCGAAGCCCUGCGCAAGGAGAGAGAAAUGAUUCGCAAAUCCGAACGUGCCACCAAAACCACACUCCAUAUGUUAACCAAAGAAUGUGAUGCGAAAGAGGCACGACUCAGCCAGGAGAUUGGUUGUCUCAACUACAAUUUGAUGCAAGCAAAACAACUUGUCCAACAGCAGCAACUCUCGCAUGACACGGAAACACAGUUAAAGAUAGAUGCCAGCCAGGCCCUGGAAGCUGCCAAACAAGAAUUGCAGGAAGUACGCGAGCAAAUGCUGAAAAUCGAAACGGAACAUGCACAUGAUAAGCAGCACUUUGAACUGAUGGCACAACAAUUUCAGGCUCAGCACGCACAGAUUCUCCAAGAAAAAGCUGACCUCCAAGCGGACAUUUUAAAGCAGCAAGAUGAUUUCAGGACCCUAGAGAAGGACUUACUCUACAAACAGAAGUGUUUGGAAGAGGGUCACCAAAAACUCUACGAACGAAUGCUGAUGCUGAAAGAAGAGCGUAACACCCUGACACAGGAGCGUGACACUUUGAAGCAAGAGCUCGACGCCCAGAACCAAGAACAUGAGGCCUUCAGAAAAGAGCGUUGCACCCUGAAACUUUAUAAUGACACCCUGAAGCAAGACCUGAUCUCAGUUGGAAAGCAGCUCAAGGAGGAGGUGUCCCGCCAGCAGAUCGAGACUGAAGCUCGUGCCAUGACCGAGAAGCAGCUCUCGUUGGUCCAGCAUCAACUGGAGCAGUCUGAACAGAAGUAUGCCCGUCUCAAAAUCGAGAUGACUGACCAACAAACGACCUCGGACGAACGACAGAUUGAGUUAAGCAAACAGUUGAAUGCCGCCAAAACGGAACUGGCCGAAACGAUGGAACGCCUCAGUGCCACAUACACGGCGGCUGCCGAGGAGGAGGGGCUACCCGAUCGCACGACCCUCCAGCGAGACUGCCAGGUGCUGCAGGCCAAAUAUCAGGAGGCCAAAAAGAAGAUUGACGAACUACAAGUGAACCUAAAGGACCAGCGCAACGAGAUGGAGGGCAAGUUGGAAAAAAUGAAAAAUAAAAUGCGCACCUUGUACACCGCGGAGGUGACACGCAUGAAGGAGAAGCAGGAGCGCGAGGCGGCGCAUAACAAAGCGGAACUGGAGGCCCUUACAAGUCAGAACAACAAAUACGAGGAGCAUACACGGAAGCUCUCCAAUCAGAUUGUUCGCUUAAACGAAAGGAUACUCGAGCAACAGAAGCAGCACGCGAUAACCACAACAAAAUUGCGCCACAUGCAGGCCACCUCGGAAGCCACCAAAUCCUCAUCUUCACUUUCCACACUGACUGUCGCUGGAAACGCAACCACAGCGGCCAAAGGCACCGGCACGGGCACGGGCACGGGCACGGCAGCAACCGCCACCGAGGACUGGCAACCCUUCAAGCGGCCCAGUGCACCCUCCUCGAAUCUGGCAAUGGAAGAUGAAGAGGGGGAGGUGUUCAACAACACCUAUUUGACGGACCUAAAGCUGGGCCGUGUGCCGGAUAUAACUGCGGAGGAGCUAAACUAUCGAAACUCGCUGCAGCCGCCGCAUCUGAGGAGCACGUAUGCGGCACAAUACGAUGUGGGAAGCCAGGACGAAGAUCCCAAAGACGGACCACAUAGUCUGGACGACAGCAUGAGCGCCUUGCUUAGCUCUUCGACGAGCACUGGGGCCCGCAAGAAGUCAAUGGGCACUCACUACAAGCGUCCUGGUCCGCCCACACCCAGCAAGAACGGCGGCCGCUUGUCCUUCGGCAGCUCAGAGCCGCCGCGGGAGAUACUGCGCGAGACAUGCGAGAAUACCGGCACCUCCAAAACACCCACACGCUUCAAGAUGUUCACCUCGCGCUUUAGCAUCGGCAGCACCACCAGCGGCAGCAGUGGCCUGCCCCGUGAUGAGCGGCCGCUACGUCGGGAGCGGCCGAAUCUAUUGACCGGAAUGCAGCGCCGCAGACUGCAGCUACGUCAGUCCUCAGGCCUCUUCUGCACCUCAACGCCACGCAAGAGCCGCUCCUACUACGAUCAGCGACGUCUGAUAUGUGCCAGCGAUGCAAUCUCAGAUCAGGAGGAGGAUGAGGAAGAGGUCGAACAAGAAGGUAAUGAGCAGGAGCAGGAGAAUGUCGCCGAGGAGCUAGAGGAGGAGGGCACACCGCACUUGUCGAAUGCCGCACUGUUGGCUAUCACCCGUGGAGUGACCCGCAGGCUGAGCAACGAUCCACGCUACAGUUCCCCUAGUUCGGGGUCCACUCCUCAGUUCGGCGGCGGCAAGCGGAAAUAUCGCAAGGGACGUGUCUCCCUUUGCCUGCACGGCAAUAUCUUUGCCAGGAGCCGGCCGCUGACGAAGAACACUGCCGCGGCCCAUGCAGGAAAUCUCAAGCAGCAGCGCGAGAAGCUGAAACAGCAGCGCCUGAAUCGCUUCGAUCAGGGAAGGCACUUCAACGAGUCCCCUGUGCCGGCAGUCACCUUCCAGCAGUCACCCAUCGCAGACAAUCUGCUCAGGCACCACCAGGCACCGACGAAUGUCACCUAUAAGCUCCUCCAGCCGCUGGACCGCUGCGCCAACAAUAACUACAGCCAGCACAAUCGCAACAAAGAGCAGCAGCAGCAGCAGGACCAGCAGCUGCUACUGAUGAUGGGCCAAACGGUGGUACUAAGGCCAGAAGAUCAGAUCCUCGACGAUGGAUUGCUGCCAGUGGCAGCGACCACAUUUAACGUCAGUGAGACCGAUAGUACAGAUAUGUGGCAGCAUCGGCAGGGAUUCGAGCCGGAGAAUAUCCAGGCUUGGUUGACGGAAUAUGCCAGAGAGAGGAAGACCCCAAUCGAGAUGGAGAACGAGGACAGCCAUGGCGGACAUUUUGAGCGGUUGUGCAGGGAAACGGAGUCGACGGCACCGUUUGAGCUACAGCCGCUGCACUACAAAGAGCAGGAGGCGCAGCCAAAGGUCAGAUCGGUGCGGCUGCUCAAUAUUACGGGCACCACCAGCGUGUGCACGACCAAUGCCAGCUGUGCCACCAAUCUCACCAGUGCCUCGUCGCAAAAGUCCUGUACAAUCUACUCCCUGGGGAACAUACAGUCGGAGCCCCUGCCGACAAUGACCAUCACGCAUGUGGAGCAGCGGUUGGUGCACCACGAGCGAAGGACAAAGUCGCUGACGCUGCGUGAACUGUGGUACACCUUCUGUCGCCUCAAUCUGCCUGGCCGUCUGAUGCUCAGCCUGGCGCUGGCUCUUACGAUGAUGCUGUGCUCUCAGGUGGCGGACAGGAUGGCCCUGGGUGUCACCGCGGCUUUUGGAUUACUGCUUUUAGUCCUUUCGCUGAGCUGUGGCAAGUAGAUGGAUGCCAGAAGGAGAGAUGCAUACCAGAAUAAAGACAUAAAACGCACACACACACAACAAAAAAAUACUCAAAUUCGCCGCCCAAGCGCCGCCUUAGCAACAUGUUCAAGAGGAAAUAAAUGUAAAUAAAUGUCCAUGUACAGAGAAAAAACCGACGCCAACCAGCAUUAAGCCAAAUAAUCAUUAAGAAUUCUUGAAUAUUAUUACCUUUUUUGUGACACACACUAAAGUCUGAAAAAAACAAAACUAAUCCACAGAGAGUAUACCAUGUAUAUGACGAGGAUACAAUAUAUAUUUUUUUCUUGUGUUCAAUGUACAUACACGAAAAGGAUACAAUUUUUUUUGUUUAAAUAAAAACCAAACCAAAUGAAACGAAAC
rnacentral:misc_RNA from 1 species